UACGUAGGGGGCUAGCGUUGUCCGGAAUCAUUGGGCGUAAAGCGCGUGUAGGCGGCCCGAUAAGUCCGCUGUGAAAGUCCAGGGCUCAACCCUGGGAUGCCGGUGGAUACUGUCGGGCUCGAGUCCGGAAGAGGCGAGUGGAAUUCCUGGUGUAGCGGUGAAAUGCGCAGAUAUCAGGAGGAACACCAAUGGCGAAGGCAGCUCGCUGGGACGUGACUGACGCUGAGACGCGAAAGCGCGGGGAGCAAACAGG
rnacentral:rRNA from 1 species